rnacentral:sRNA from 1 species
CACCGGUCGAGAGCUGAUGCCGCUAUCCUGAUGAGUCUAAGUUAGGACGAAACCAAUA